CCGGGUCGCCUCCUGCACUGACCCUCCGCGCGUCUCUCCUUCCAUUUUUUGGGGAAUUUUAUUUGUUUUCUUCUGUCUAUUUGUUUCUCUCUUCCUUCUUUCCUGUUUAUUUUUCUUUCUUUCCUUUUUUUUUUAAACCGACUCGAUCCGAAUCACCUACGACAACUUUCGGAAAAUCUCUAUUCUUAUAUAAAAAAAGAUACUGAUUUGUUUUGGAUCAUUUCAACGGCUAGUAAGAAAGAGAAUAAGGGUAAGAGUAAGAGAAAGAGAAAGAGAAAGAGAAAGGGAAAGGGAAAGAAAAAAAAGAAGAAGAAAAAGAGAAAGAGAGACAUACGUAUCAGUUAGAUCUUAUUCCUUCGAAGAUCUUCAAACUUGUGAACAACUUCGUGCGUUUCGCGCCACCCCGAAAUCAGCCGAACAUGACCGAAGGCCAAAAGAGGAUGAGAAGAGAGGAGGAGAGGGUUGGUAAGAGGGGAAGUUGGCACUCUUGGAGACCAGAAAGAAAUAAGAGUGAGAGAGAUAGAAAUAUUAAAAAGAAGGGGCGAGAGAGAGAGAGAGAAAUAGACAAACAGAUAGACAGACUAAACCAAGAGAUAAAUCCUACGCACGACCUACAACAAUGCCAUGGAGUUUCUGCUGCAGCUGAUUUCACGACCAACCAACCAACCGGCCAUUCCGCUACCCGGAAUUCCACCGUUCUCCGGAAG
rnacentral:lncRNA from 1 species